GACGAACGCUGGCGGCGUGCUUAACACAUGCAAGUCGAACGGAAAGGCCCUGCUUUUGUGGGGUGCUCGAGUGGCGAACGGGUGAGUAACACGUGAGUAACCUGCCCUUGACUUUGGGAUAACUUCAGGAAACUGGGGCUAAUACCGGAUAGGAUCUCCUGCUGCAUGGUGGGGGUUGGAAAGUUUCGGCGGUUGGGGCUGGACUCGCGGCUUAUCAGCUUGUUGGUGGGGUAGUGGCUUACCAAGGCUUUGACGGGUAGCCGGCCUGAGAGGGUGACCGGCCACAUUGGGACUGAGAGACGGCCCAGACUCCUACGGGAGGCAGCAGUGGGGAAUAUUGCACAGUGGGCGGAAGCCUGAUGCAGCAACGCCGCGUGCGGGAUGACGGCCUUCGGGUUGUAAACCGCUUUCGCCGGUGACGAAGCGUGAGUGACGGUAAUGGGUAAAGAAGCACCGGCUAACUACGUG
rnacentral:rRNA from 1 species